rnacentral:rRNA from 1 species
UACAGAGGUCUCAAGCGUUGUUCGGAUUCAUUGGGCGUAAAGGGUGCGUAGGUGGCGCUGUAAGUCGGGUGUGAAAUCCCUCAGCUUAACUGGGGAACUGCGUCCGAUACUGGAUGGCUUGAGUUUGGGAGAGGGAUGCGGAAUUCCAGGUGUAGCGGUGAAAUGCGUAGAUAUCUGGAGGAACACCGGUGGCGAAGGCGGCAUCCUGGACCAACACUGACACUGAGGAGCGAAAGCCAGGGGAGCAAACGGG